GUUAGAGAAAGCCUUUGACUCAAAGAGUCUUAAGUGUCACAGCUCAAGCCUCUUUUACCUCUGGAAUUAUGCAGAUUAACUUGCUUUGUUCGGUGAUUGGUCUUCAGAACUUAAACAUGGAUUCCUUUGAAUUCCAAAGGUUCGUCUUGUGAAAAUAUGGCACUUUGGCUUUAGCAUAAAGCUCCUUUAAAUAGGAAAGCCCCCAGCAGCUUCCUAAGACAGCCACAGGGAAAUGGAAUACAGAAGGAACUUUAAAAGGGCAGUGGACCUAACAAGACCCGGCUGUGGUCUAGAAUUACCCUAAGGAUUCUGCACCAGCAGCACCUUCUUGUGAAAGGAACCAGAAGGC